rnacentral:rRNA from 1 species
AGAGUUUGAUCCUGGCUCAGAACGAACGCUGGCGGCGCGUUUUAAGCAUGCAAGUCGAACGGUAAUACGGCUUCGGUCGUAUGAGAGUGGCGAACGGGUGAGUAACACGUAGGUGAUCUACCUUGGGCACGGGGAUAGCCUGUGGAAACACAGAGUAAUACCGGAUACGCCUUAGUGUCUGUGGGUACUAAGGGAAAGGAGCUUAGGCUCCGGUCUGAGAUGAGCCUGCGGUCCAUUAGCUAGUUGGUGAGGUAAAGGCCCACCAAGGCGACGAUGGAUAGCCGGCCUGAGAGGGUGAACGGCCACACUGGGACUGAGACACGGCCCAGACUCCUACGGGAGGCAGCAGCUAAGAAUCUUCCGCAAUGGGCGAAAGCCUGACGGAGCGACGCCGCGUGAACGAAGAAGGCCGGAAGGUUGUAAAGUUCUUUUCUUGGGGAGGAAUAAGGAGGAGAGGGAAUGCUCCUCUGAUGACGUGAACCGAGGAAUAAGCCCCGGCUAAUUACGUGCCAGCAGCCGCGGUAAUACGUAAGGGGCAAGCGUUGUUCGGAAUCAUUGGGCGUAAAGGGCGUGUAGGCGGUUUAUCAAGUCUGGUGUAAAAAGACCCGGCUCAACCGGGGGACUGCGCUGGAAACUGGUAGACUAGAGUAUAGGAAGGGGAGCUGGAAUUCCUGGUGUAGGGGUGAAAUCUGUAGAUAUCAGGAAGAACACCGGUGGCGAAGGCGAGCUCCUGGCCAUAUACUGACGCUGAGGCGCGAAAGCGUGGGGAGCGAACAGGAUUAGAUACCCUGGUAGUCUACGCUGUAAACGAUGUGCACUAGGUGUUGGUGGGGAGAACUGCCAGUGCCGUAGCAAACGCGUUGAGUGCACCGCCUGGGGAGUAUGCUCGCAAGGGUGAAACUCAAAGGAAUUGACGGGGGCCCGCACAAGCGGUGGAGCAUGUGGUUUAAUUCGAUACGCGAGGAACCUUACCAGGGCUUGACAUAUGCAGGGAAUCGCCGGAGACGGCGGUGCCUCUUCGGAGGCUUGCAUACAGGUGCUGCAUGGCUGUCGUCAGCUCGUGCUGUGAAGUGUUGGGUUAAGUCCCGCAACGAGCGCAACCCCUCCUAUCUGUUGCCAGCACGUUAAGGUGGGGACUCAGAUGGUUCUGCCGGUGACGAACCGGAGAAAGGGGACGACGUCAAGUCAUUAUGGCCCUUAUGUCCUGGGCUACACACGUGCUACAAUGGUCGGUACAGAGUGAAGCGAGACCGCGAGGUGGAGCAAAUCACAGAAAGCCGAUCUCAGUACGAAUUGAAGUCUGAAACUCGACUUCAUGAAGGUGGAAUCGCUAGUAAUCGCGCAUCAGCAUGGCGCGGUGAAUACGUUCCCGGGCCUUGUACACACCGCCCGUCACACCACCCGAGUUGGGGGUACCCGAAGUCGCUAGUCUAACCGUCAAGGGGGACGGCGCCGAAGGUAUGCCUGGUAAGGGGGGUGAAGUCGUAACAAGGUA